rnacentral:pre_miRNA from 1 species
GAGGGCGCGUGUAGUGUAGUCGGUGGAGGCGCCGACUGUCGCAUGCACCCGAUA